rnacentral:lncRNA from 1 species
CCUCUCCUCCCUUGGCGUCCCAUAUGCCCCCACAUCUUGGGCGUUCUCCCUUUUCCUCCAUGCCAAGGCUGGUUGCGCAUCCCUCCUUGCUGGUUCCUAGUAUUUGAUAGCAGCACAAAGCAAGGAAGAAAAGCAAGAGAAGAAGAGAAGAAGAAGAUCAAGAAAAGAGAUCAAGUGUUGAUCGUGAUUCAGGCUUCGUUCAGAUUCAGCAGGUUAAAU